AGAGGUAGCAACGCAGUGCUGUAUAUAUUGAGAUGAUGAUAAAAGCCGUUAACGGUCGGUUUGCUGGGGCGUGUCAUGAUUCACAUGUGUGGAAUUUGUCAAGCGAGCGCCAAUAUUUACAAAUUACAAAUCAACUAUGUGAAUGGAGAAAUAGGAAUUCGCAUUCUUGGCAACUCUGGAUAUCCGCUUGAGCCAUGGCUUUUAAUUCCAUAUAGAAAUGCUGCUGAAAACUCUGCGGAAAGUUACUACAACUACAAAUUUUCAAAAGCCAGAUCCCUUAUCGAACAAGUAUUUGGAGUAUUAAAAGCGCGGUUCCGAUGCCUUUGAGCUGCUAAAGAACUACAUUAUGCCCCAGAAAAAGUGGAGGGUUUUGAACAUAUGUUGGGCCCUUCAUAAUAUUUGCACUCUUUUUAAUGUGGAAUCACCUGCCAAUAUAGCAAUAGAAAUUCAAGAAGUCGAUGCUAGUUAUACUGAAACAAUAGGAAAUGCGAAUGAAACCAAUAUUGCUAAACCUUUAAGAGAUCAAAUA